rfam:Streptomyces oceani strain SCSIO 02100 scaffold21, whole genome shotgun sequence.
GGCCAAGUUGUUAAGGGCGCACGGUGGAUGCCUUGGCAUCAGGAACCGAUGAAGGACGUGGGAGGCCGCGAUAGGCCCCGGGGAGUUGUCAACCGAGCUGUGAUCCGGGGGUGUCCGAAUGGGGAAACCCGGCAGUCGUCAUGGGCUGUCACCUGCAUCUGAAUGUAUAGGGUGUGUGGAGGGAACGCGGGGAAGUGAAACAUCUCAGUACCCGUAGGAAGAGAAAACAACCGUGAUUCCGGGAGUAGUGGCGAGCGAAACUGGAGUAGGCUAAACCGUAUGUGUGUGAUACCCGGCAGGGGUUGCGUGUGCGGGGUUGUGGGAGUUGCUGUGAUCGUUCUGCCGGACGGUCGGUGAGUGAGAAACCAUUGUGAUAGGCGAAGGGCAUGCGAAAGGCCCGGCGUAGAGGGUAAGACCCCCGUAGCUGAAAUCAUGGUGGCUCAUUAUGUGAUUUCCCAAGUAGCAUGGGGCCCGAGAAAUCCUGUGUGAAUCUGGCGGGACCACCCGUUAAGCCUAAAUAUUUCCUGGUGACCGAUAGCGGAUAGUACCGUGAGGGAAUGGUGAAAAGUACCCCGGGAGGGGAGUGAAAGAGUACCUGAAACCGUGUGCCUACAAGCCGUGGGAGCUGAGCAUGGGGCGCUUUUGCGUCGUGUGUGGUGACUGCGUGCCUUUUGAAGAAUGAGCCUGCGAGUUUGCGGCAUGUUGCGAGNAAGCGUGGCGAGACUUUGUUUUGUUGCGUGGUGACUGCGUGCCUUUUGAAGAAUGAGCCUGCGAGUUUGCGGCAUGUUGCGAGGUUAACCUGUUGUGGGGGAGCCGUAGUGAAAGCGAGUCCGAUANGGUUAACCUGUUGUGGGGGAGCCGUAGUGAAAGCGAGUCCGAUAAGGGCGUUGAGUAGCGUGUCCUAGACCCGAAGCGGAGUGAUCUAGCCAUGGGCAGGGUGAAGCGGAGGUAAGACUUCGUGGAGGCCCGAACCCACCAGGGUUGAAAACCUGGGGGAUGAUCUGUGGUUAGGGGUGAAAGGCCAAUCAAACUUCGUGAUAGCUGGUUCUCCCCGAUAUGCAUUUAGGUGCAGCGUCGUGUGUUUCUUGCCGGAGGUAGAGCACUGGGUAGGUGAUGGGCCUUACCGGGUUACUGACCUUAGCCAAACUCCGAAUGCCGGUAAGUGAGAGCGCGGCAGUGAGACUGUGGGGGAUAAGCUCCAUGGUCGUGAGGGAAACAGCCCAGAGCAUCGACUAAGGCCCCUAAGCGUGUGCUAAGUGGGAAAGGAUGUGGAGUCGCAGAGACAACCAGGAGGUUGGCUUAGAAGCAGCCAUCCUUGAAAGAGUGCGUAAUAGCUCACUGGUCAAGUGAUUCUGCGCCGAUAAUGUAGCGGGGCUCAAGCAUACCGCCGAAGUCGUGUCAUUGCAGUGUGAACCCUUAACGGGGGCUGUGAUGGGUAGGGGAGCGUCGUGUGCCGGGUGAAGCAGCCCUGUGAGGGAGUUGUGGAUGGUGCGCGAGUGAGAAUGCAGGCAUGAGUAGCGAUACGCACGUGGGAAACGUGUGCGCCGAUUGACUAAGGGUUCCUGGGUCAAGUUGAUCUGCCCAGGGUAAGUCGGGGCCUAAGGCGAGGCCGACAGGCGUAGUCGAUGGAUAACCGGUUGAUAUUCCGGUACCCGCUAGGCCGCGUUCAACAUCGAAUCAGGUGAUGCUAAGUCCGUGAAGCUGCCAUGUUCUUUCGGGAGUGUGGUGGGUGGAGCCGAUGGUCCGAGCUUGUAGUAGGUGAGUGAUGGGGUGACGCAGGAAGGUAGUCCAGCCCGGGCGGUGGUUGUCCCGGGGUAAGGGUGUAGCCCGUUGUGCAGGGAAAUCCGUGCAACAUGUGGGUGAGGCCUGAUGCCGAGCCGAUUGUGGUGAAGUGGAUGAUCCUAUGCUGUCGAGAAAAGCCUCUAGCGAGUGGUGUGGCGGCCCGUACCCUAAACCGACUCAGGUGGUCAGGUAGAGUAUACCGAGGCGUUCGGGUGAACUAUGGUUAAGGAACUCGGCAAAAUGCCCCCGUAACUUCGGGAGAAGGGGGGCCAUGUCUGGUGAUCCACCGUUGCGUGGUGAGCUGGGUGUGGUCGCAGAGAGCAGCGAGAAGCGACUGUUUACUAAAAACACAGGUCCGUGCGAAGCCGUAAGGCGAUGUAUACGGACUGACGCCUGCCCGGUGCUGGAACGUUAAGGGGACCGGUUAGCCACUUUGGUGGUGAAGCUGAGAACUUAAGCGCCAGUAAACGGCGGUGGUAACUAUAACCAUCCUAAGGUAGCGAAAUUCCUUGUCGGGUAAGUUCCGACCUGCACGAAUGGCGUAACGACUUCUUGACUGUCUCAACCAUAGGCCCGGUGAAAUUGCAGUAUGAGUAAAGAUGCUCGUUUCGCGCAGCAGGACGGAAAGACCCCGGGACCUUUACUAUAGCUUGAUAUUGGUGUUCGGUUCGGCUUGUGUAGGAUAGGUGGGAGACUGUGAAGUUGCCGCGCUAGCGGUGGUGGAGUCGUUGUUGAAAUACCACUCUGGUCGUGUUGGAUGUCUAACCUGGGUCCGUGAUCCGGAUCAGGGACAGUGUCUGGUGGGUAGUUUAACUGGGGCGGUUGCCUCCUAAAGAGUAACGGAGGCGCCCAAAGGUUCCCUCAGCCUGGUUGGUCAUCAGGUGGUGAGUGUAAGUGCACAAGGGAGCUUGACUGUGAGACUGACGGGUCGAGCAGGGACGAAAGUCGGGAUUAGUGAUCCGGCGGUGGCUUGUGGAAGCGCCGUCGCUCAACGGAUAAAAGGUACCCCGGGGAUAACAGGCUGAUCUUCCCCAAGAGUCCAUAUCGACGGGAUGGUUUGGCACCUCGAUGUCGGCUCGUCGCAUCCUGGGGCUGGAGUCGGUCCCAAGGGUUGGGCUGUUCGCCCAUUAAAGCGGUACGCGAGCUGGGUUUAGAACGUCGUGAGACAGUUCGGUCCCUAUCCGCUGCGCGCGUUGGAGUCUUGAGAAGGGCUGUCCCUAGUACGAGAGGACCGGGACGGACGGACCUCUGGUGUGCCAGUUGUUCUGCCAAGGGCAUGGCUGGUUGGCUACGUUCGGAAAGGAUAACCGCUGAAAGCAUCUAAGCGGGAAGCCUGCUUCGAGAUGAGGGCUCCCUCCAACUUGAUUGGUUAAGGCUCCCGGGAGAUGACCGGGUUGAUAGGCCGGAUAUGGAAGCCUUGUAAGGGGUGGAGUUGACCGGUACUAAUAGGCCGAGGGCUUGACCAU